rnacentral:rRNA from 1 species
AUUGAACGCUGGCGGAAUGCUUUACACAUGCAAGUCGAACGGCAGCACGGGUGCUUGCACCUGGUGGCGAGUGGCGAACGGGUGAGUAAUACAUCGGAACGUACCCAGUCGUGGGGGAUAACGUAGCGAAAGUUACGCUAAUACCGCAUACGUCCUGAGGGAGAAAGCGGGGGACCGUAAGGCCUCGCGCGAUUGGAGCGGCCGAUGGCGGAUUAGCUAGUUGGUGGGGUAAAGGCCUACCAAGGCGACGAUCCGUAGCGGGUCUGAGAGGACGGCCCGCCACGCUGGAACUGAGACGCGGUCCAGACUCCUACGGGAGGCAGCAGUGGGUAAUUUUGGACAAUGGGCGAAAGCCUGAUCCAGCCAUUCCGCGUGAGUGAAGAAGGCCUUCGGGUUGUAAAGCUCUUUCGGCAGGGAAGAAACGGCUUGGGAUAAUACCCCGGGCUAAUGACGGUACCUGAAGAAGAAGCACCGGCUAACUACGUGCCAGCCGCCGCAGUAA